CCCUUAGAUGUUCUGGGCCGCACGCGCGCUACACUGAUGCAUUCAGCGAGUCUAAAACCUGCUCUGAUAGGGGUGGGUAAUCUUUUGAAUGUGCAUCGUGAUUGGGAUAGAUGAUUGAAAUUUUUCAUCUUCAACGAGGAAUGCCUAGUAAACGCAAGUCAUCAGCUUGCAUUGAUUACGUCCCUGCCCUUUGUACACACCGCCCGUCGCUCCUACCGAUUGAAUGAUCCGAUGAAUAUCAUGGAUUGAGGAUGCAAGUAGGUUCACCUAUCUUCAUCUUCGAGAAGUGAAGUAAAUCUUAUCAUUUAGAGGAAGGAGAAGUCGUAACA
rnacentral:rRNA from 1 species